rnacentral:rRNA from 1 species
UACGGAGGGUCCGAGCGUUAUUCGGAAUCACUGGGUUUAAAGGGUCCGUAGGCGGGACAAUAAGUCAGGGGUGAAAGGUUGCAGCUCAACUUCAGAAUGGCCUUUGAUACUGGUGGUCUUGAGUUAUGUUGCUGUGGUCGGAACACGUGGUGUAGCGGUGAAAUGCAUAGAUAUCGCGUAGAACGCCAAUUGCGAAGGCAGGUCACAGAGCAUAUACUGACGCUGAGGGACGAAAGCGUGGGGAGCGAACGGG